GCAAACCAAAGCUGGCGACCGGCGCACGGGUGAGUAACACGUAUCCAACCUGCCGAUAACUCCGGAAUAGCCUUUCGAAAGAAAGAUUAAUACCGGAUAGCAUACGAAUAUCGCAUGAUAUUUUUAUUAAAGAAUUUCGGUUAUCGAUGGGGAUGCGUUCCAUUAGUUUGUUGGCGGGGUAACGGCCCACCAAGACUACGAUGGAUAGGGGUUCUGAGAGGAAGGUCCCCCACAUUGGAACUGAGACACGGUCCAAACUCCUACGGGAGGCCAGCAUG
rnacentral:rRNA from 1 species